UAUGGGAGGCAGCAGUGGGGAAUAUUGCACAAUGGGCGAAAGCCUGAUGCAGCUAUGCCGCGUGUAUGAAGAAGGCCUUAGGGUUGUAAAGUACUUUCAUCGGGGAGGAAAAACAAAACUAAUAAUUUUAUUUCUUGACGUUACCCGAAAAAGAAGCACCGGCUAACUCCGUGCCAGCAGCCGCGGUAAUACGGAGGGUGCUAGCGUUAAUCAGAAUUACUGGGCGUAAAGAGCACGUAGGUGGUUUUUUUAAGUCAGAUGUGAAAUCCCUGGGCUUAACCUAGGAACUGCAUUUUGAAACUGAAAUACUAGAGUAUCGUAGAGGGAGGUAGAAUUCUAGGUGUAGCGGUGAAAUGCGUAGAUAUCUGGAGGAAUACCUGUGGCGAAAGCGGCCUCCUAAACGAAUACUGACACUGAGGUGCGAAAGCGUGGGGAGCAAACGAGGAUUAGAUACC
rnacentral:rRNA from 1 species